rnacentral:rRNA from 1 species
UACGGAGGGUGCAAGCGUUAUCCGGAUUCACUGGGUUUAAAGGGUGCGUAGGUGGGCAGAUAAGUCAGUGGUGAAAUCUCUGGGCUUAACCCGGAAACUGCCAUUGAUACUAUUUGUCUUGAAUUCUCUGGAGGUAAGCGGAAUAUGUCAUGUAGCGGUGAAAUGCUUAGAUAUGACAUAGAACACCCAUUGCGAAGGCAGCUUACUACGGAGAUAUUGACACUGAGGCACGAAAGCGUGGGGAUCAAACAGG